GGACCCUAAUGAGAGGAAACAACAGCGGCAGAUCACACGUGAAGAAAAGUCACAAAACCAGGAAGCAAACACAUUUAUACCCUGCACUCUAGAGAUAACGUGAACGAGUAGAAGAAGAAAAUUACAACCCUGAUGUGAAAAGCAGGAUCUUGCGGGAAAGUGAGUGGAAGAGGCGGGUGGUGAAGUAGGUUCCUGGAUGGAUGGCUUGUAAAAGCCUCGAGGUUACAAAAGUACCUUCCGUGCAUUAUCUCUGUUGGGAGCCUGUACUGCUUCAAAACCUGCCCCAGCCAAGACUGUAACGGAGCCGAUCACGGUCAUCUACGUACCUGUCUUCCCAACCAGUCUGUGAAGUCUUCAGUGACAGGCCCAGUGCUUGGCAUGUAAUAAUAAACCCAGAGACGCUUGAAAAGGGAUAUUGGGGCCAAAGCCUUGAAUCCAGGCCGAGGAGCUUUGACCACAUUCUGUAGGUAAUGAGACAGCAGAGGUUUGGGGAGGGGAACACAAUCAGACUUUUUUUUUUCCCAGUGUUUAUUUUU